rnacentral:tRNA from 1 species
GGGGAUUUAGCUCAGGGGUAGAGCGCUUGCCUAGGAAGCGCAAGGCCCUGGGUUCAAUCCCCAGCUCCG